rnacentral:ncRNA from 1 species
UAAAAUGAGAGUUUGAUCCUGGCUCAGGACGAACGUUGGCGGCGUGCCUAAUACAUGCAAGUCGAACGAGGUCUCCUAACUGAUAGCUGGUGCUUGCAUCAGCUUGACGAUAGAUCUGACCGAGUGGCGAACUGGUGAGUAACACGUGGGUAACCUGCCCAGAAGAAGGGGAUAACACCUGGAAACAGAUGCUAAUACCGUAUAACAACGAGAACCACAUGGUUCUCGUUUGAAAGAUGGCUUUUAUGCUAUCGCUUCUGGAUGGACCCGCGGCGUAUUAGCUAGUUGGUGAGAUAAUAGCUCACCAAGGCAAUGAUACGUAGCAGACCUGAGAGGGUAAUCUGCCACAAUGGGACUGAGACACGGCCCAUACUCCUACGGGAGGCAGCAGUAGGGAAUCUUCCACAAUGGACGAAAGUCUGAUGGAGCAACGCCGCGUGAGUGAAGAAGGGUUUCGGCUCGUAAAACUCUGUUGUUAGAGAAGAACGACCGUGAGAGCAACUGCUCACGGUGUGACGGUAUCUAACCAGAAAGUCACGGCUAACUACGUGCCAGCAGCCGCGGUAAUACGUAGGUGGCAAACGUUGUCCGGAUUUAUUGGGCGUAAAGCGAGCGCAGGCGGUUUUCUAAGUCUGAUGUGAAAGCCUUCGGCUUAACCGGAGAAGUGCAUCGGAAACUGGAUAACUUGAGUGCAGAAAAGGACAGUGGAACUUCAUGUGUAGCGGUGAAAUGCGUAGAUAUAUGAAGGAACACCAGUGGCGAAGGCGGCUGUCUGGUCUGCAUCUGACGCUGAGGCUCGAAAGCAUGGGUAGCAAACAGGAUUAGAUACCCUGGUAGUCCAUGCCGUAAACGAUGAAUGCUAGGUGUUGGGAGGUUUCCGCCUCUCAGUGCCGCAGCUAACGCAUUAAGCAUUCCGCCUGGGGAGUACGACCGCAAGGUUGAAACUCAAAGGAAUUGACGGGGACCCGCACAAGCGGUGGAGCAUGUGGUUUAAUUCGAUGCUACGCGAAGAACCUUACCAGGACUUGACAUCUUCUGUUAACCUAAGAGAUUAGGUGUCCCC